CCUACGGGUGGCAGCAGUGAGGAAUAUUGGUCAAUGGGCGGAAGCCUGAACCAGCCAAGUAGCGUGCAGGAUGACGGCCCUACGGGUUGUAAACUGCUUUUAUACGGGAAUAACGCGCCUUACGUGUAGGGCUUUGCAUGUACCGUAUGAAUAAGGACCGGCUAAUUCCGUGCCAGCAGCCGCGGUAAUACGGAAGGUCCGGGCGUUAUCCGGGUUUAUUGGGUUUAACGGGUGCGAAGGCGGAAGAUCAAGUCAGCGGGAAAAUUUGGAGGCGCAACCUCUUCGAGCAGUUGAAACUGGUUGUCUUGAGUGAGGGAGAAGUAUGCGGAAUGCGUGGUGUAGCGGUGAAAUGCAUAGAUAGCACGCAGAACUCCGAUUGCGAAGGCAGCAUACCGGCGCUCAACUGACGCUCAUGCACGAAAGUGUGGGUAUCGAACAGGAUUAGAUACCCGUGUAGUC
rnacentral:rRNA from 1 species